UCCCAGAGAAGUUGCAAGUCCUCAUCCUGUCAGUUCGUGAUCUACCCUGGGUGUCAAGUUGGUGCAGCCCCUCUGAAACGACAUUAACUGUCCAUCAUGGCAUUUGGGUUUGAGCGCUGCCUUUCCCAGCCUUCGUUAUUUCUAUCUGGAGUUGAAUCUCAGCUGCUUUGAACAAUAGAUUGUGUACCUGCUGGUCCCUUGCUGUACCUAAAGUGUGUGUGAUUCUUCACUCAAAGUCAGAGAGAUGAAACUUGGAGAUAUCAACAGCACGUGAGGAAGAAGAGCAAUCCUGGCUCUUUUAUAGAAUGCUCACACACCGAAACUACCAAGAGCGUUCCAACCAUCGAAGACCAUCUUGAUUAGAAAAGAGGAUGGUUUUAUUUAUCUGUUCUUAUUUU
rnacentral:sRNA from 1 species